rnacentral:rRNA from 1 species
UGGGGAAUAUUGCACAAUGGGCGAAAGCCUGAUGCAGCAACGCCGCGUGCGGGAUGACGGCCUUCGGGUUGUAAACCGCCUUCAGCAGGGACGAAGGUUUUCUGACGGUACCUGCAGAAGAAGCACCGGCUAACUACGUGCCAGCAGCCGCGGUGAUACGUAGGGUGCGAGCGUUGUCCGGAAUUAUUGGGCGUAAAGAGCUUGUAGGCGGUCCGUUGCGUCGGAAGUGAAAACUCAGGGCUUAACCCUGAGCCUGCUUUCGAUACGGGCGGACUUGAGGGAUGUAGGGGAGAACGGAAUUCCUGGUGGAGCGGUGGAAUGCGCAGAUAUCAGGAGGAACACCAGUGGCGAAGGCGGUUCUCUGGACAUUUCCUGACGCUGAGAAGCGAAAGCGUGGGGAGCAAACAGGCUUAGAUACCCUGGUAGUCCACGCCGUAAACGGUGGCACUAGGUGUGGGACCCAUUCCACGGGUUCCGUGCCGUAGCUAACGCAUUAA